rnacentral:rRNA from 1 species
UACGUAGGGGGCUAGCGUUGUCCGGAAUCAUUGGGCGUAAAGCGCGUGUAGGCGGUCCGGUAAGUCCGCUGUGAAAGUCGGGGGCUCAACCCUCGAAAGCCGGUGGAAACUGUCGGGCUAGAGUGCGGAAGAGGCGAGUGGAAUUCCUGGUGUAGCGGUGAAAUGCGCAGAUAUCAGGAGGAACACCAAUUGCGAAGGCAGCUCGCUGGGACGUUACUGACGCUGAGACGCGAAAGCGUGGGGAGUCAAACAGGA